AAAUUGAAGAGUUUGAUCAUGGCUCAGAUUGAACGCUGGCGGCAGGCCUAACACAUGCAAGUCGAACGGUAACAGGAAGCAGCUUGCUGCUUUGCUGACGAGUGGCGGACGGGUGAGUAAUGUCUGGGAAACUGCCCGAUGGAGGGGGAUAACUACUGGAAACGGUAGCUAAUACCGCAUAACGUCGCAAGACCAAAGAGGGGGACCUUAGGGCCU
rnacentral:rRNA from 1 species